UGGGGAAUUUUCCGCAAUGGGCGAAAGCCUGACGGAGCAAUACCGCGUGAGGGAGGAAGGCUUUUGGGUUGUAAACCUCUUUUCUUAGGGCAGAAGAAAGUGACGGUACCUAAGGAAUCAGCAUCGGCUAACUCCGUGCCAGCAGCCGCGGUAAUACGGAGGAUGCAAGCGUUAUCCGGAAUUAUUGGGCGUAAAGCGUCCGCAGGUGGCACUUCAAGUCUGCUGUCAAAGACCAGAGCUCAACUCUGGGCAGGCGGUGGAAACUGGGGAGCUAGAGUACGGUAGGGGUAGAGGGAAUUUCCAGUGUAGAGGUGAAAUUCGUAGAUAUUGGGUGGAACACCAGUGCCGAAAGCGGCUCUCUGGUUCGAUUCUGACGCUGAGGCGCGAAAGCGUGGGGAGCAAACAGGAUUAGAUACCCCUGUAGUCC
rnacentral:rRNA from 1 species